UACGUAGGGGGCUAGCGUUGUCCGGAUUUAUUGGGCGUAAAGAGCUCGUAGGCGGCUUGUCGCGUCGACUGUGAAAUCCCGCGGCUCAACUGCGGGUCUGCAGUCGAUACGGGCAGGCUAGAGUUCGGUAGGGGAGACUGGAAUUCCUGGUGUAGCGGUGAAAUGCGCAGAUAUCAGGAGGAACACCGAUGGCGAAGGCAGGUCUCUGGGCCGAUACUGACGCUGAGGAGCGAAAGCGUGGGGAGCGAACAGG
rnacentral:rRNA from 1 species